AGCCACCCUGCUGCGUAGCUCUGUGUGGACCAGCUGUGUCCUUCAGUGCAGGUCCAGUCAAGAGCCGUGGGCCACAGAGGACACUGGUGCAGAAGCAGAGGGCAGACUAGGCAGAGGCAAGGCUUUCCUGUGCCCUGAGCUAUCAGAGAUGGGCCAGAGCCAUCAGCUUCCUCGAUAGGGCAGAAGUAACCACGCUAGCUCCACUCAGCAAAGGAUGUGGACAGAACUGCCGGGCUUGCCUGAGAGGAGGAGAAAUGUGGAAUUGAGUGAGGCUCUCUGAGAAGGUUCUGCUGGAGUUAAGAAAAAUUAGGGAGUUUGAAGCUUCAGGAGUGCCCUCCGGCCACAUGAAGACCAGGCGCUAACAAACUUCUGCAAGUUGCACCAAUGCCAACUCCUGUCUUACUCUCGCAGAGGCCUCCUGGGCUCUUCUGAGAAGGGUAACAAAAAACCUUGCUUCAGCUAAUUGUGCAAAAAUGGAAAUUUAUUAGCUAUGAAAUUGAAGAGUUGAAAGUGGCUUCAGGAAUGGAACCAUGUCUUAUCUUGGCCCAUGUCACAUGACCCAGAGCCAAGAGAAGCUUCAUUCUCAUCCCCAUGAACCAGGAAGCUUGGCCACCGCCCCACAUCCUCCCUCAGGAUCCCAGCAUCUUAUUUUCCCCUUCCUUCCAUCUCCAACCUGCACUCUCCUCCAAGACCAAGAUUUCCUAACCUUCCA